rnacentral:rRNA from 1 species
UACGGGGGGGGCAAGCGUUGUUCGGAAUUACUGGGCGUAAAGGGCUCGUAGGCGGCCAACUAAGUCGGACGUGAAAUCCCUCGGCUUAACUGGGGAACUGCGUCCGAUACUGGAUGGCUUGAGUUCGGGAGAGGGAUGUGGAAUUCCAGGUGUAGCGGUGAAAUGCGUAGAUAUCUGGAGGAACACCGGUGGCGAAGGCGGCAUCCUGGACCGACACUGACGCUGAGAGACGAAAGCUAGGGGAGCGAAUGGG